CAGAGUUAGAAGGGAAUCAAGAGAGUAUCCAGAACAAUACUUAUUUCUGAAGAUGAAGGUUCAAGGUAACAGAAAAUAGAAGCACCAGGCUCCAAGCGUCUGGUUUAGGAAUCUGCUUCUCCAACGUCUCAUCAUCCGCACUUGAUCUUCAUUGCCGAUGGGAAUGCAAAAUGGUGCAACCUGUAUGGAAGGGAUUUGGCGGCAUCUGGCAAGAGUGCACACACCUGGAAUCAGCAAACCCACUUCUAGGAAUCUAUCUCAAAGAUAAAAUGGCAAAAACACAAAGUGACCUAUGCAUGAGGCUAUUAAUUCUAGCACUGUUUGUAAGAAGAAAAGCUUAGAAACAGCCCAAGUGUCCUUCAGGAUCAUAAACUAUGGCACAGCCACCAUGGAGCACCAUGCAGCUGGAAAAAAGAAAGGUGGAAGCUUUCCACACAGAAGCUUCCACAGACUAUAACCGUGUGAUCUUCUGCAUUCAUUCAGUGGAAAAAGCAAGGCGUAGGAGAAAAGUUACAAUAUGCUACUUCUGGUAUAAAAGUGGUGGCGACGGUAGGGAAUCUAUAUACACAUUUGCUUAUGUGUGUUUUUUUUUUUAAGCAAUGUGUGGCUCUCUGACUCUUACAGUUUUUGGAAACUCUGCUACUGUUUCCUGCCAGUCACUUGCUAAAAUGCGCCUGAUAUUGUCAUUCUGCUUGGAUACCCUGCCGCACCCUGCUCACUGUGUUGCCAGUGUUGCCCUCUAGCACAAGUCUGUGCGUCUCCCACCAGAUUCCAGCUCUCUGUCCUUGCUUGGCUGGCUCUGUGUUCCCACAACCCUCUCUGACCUACCACUUCUAGACGAGAGCAAUGCAGAGGGCCGAAACUACAAAAUAAAUGAUGGUUUCAAAAGCAA